CCUACGGGAGGCAGCAGUGGGGAAUAUUGGGCAAUGGGCGCAAGCCUGACCCAGCAACGCCGCGUGAAGGAAGAAGGCCCUCGGGUUGUAAACUUCUUUUAUUCGGGACGAAACAAAUGACGGUACCGAAUGAAUAAGCCACGGCUAACUACGUGCCAGCAGCCGCUGUAAUACGUAAGUGGCAGUCGUUCUCCGGAUUUCAUUGGUUUAAAGGGCGUGUAGGCGGGAGAGAAAGUCAGACGGUAAAUUACAGGGCUCAACCCUGGAACUGCGUUUGAAACUGUUCUUCUUGAGUGAUGGAGAGGCAGGCGGAAUUCCGGGUGUAGCGGUGAAAUGCGUAGAUAUACGGAGGAACACCAGUUGCGAAGGCGGCCUGCUGGACAUUAACUGACGCUGAGGCGCGAAAGCGUGGGGAGCAAACAGGAUUAGAUACCCGAGUAGUC
rnacentral:rRNA from 1 species